rnacentral:rRNA from 1 species
CCUACGGGAGGCAGCAGUGAGGAAUAUUGGUCAAUGGGCGGAAGCCUGAACCAGCCAAGUAGCGUGCGGGAUGAAGGCCCUACGGGUCGUAAACCGCUUUUGCACGGGGAUAACACCCUCCACUUGUGGAGGUCUGCAGGUACCGUGCGAAUAAGGGCCGGCUAAUUCCGUGCCAGCAGCCGCGGAAAUACGGAAAGCCCGAGCGUUAUCCGGAUUCAUGGGGCUUAAAGGGAGCGUAGGCGGGCGUUCAAGUCAGCUGUAAAAUCGCGCGGGUCAACCCCGCCCCGCAGUUUGAAAUGGACGCCUUGAGUUCACAACAGGCAGGCGGAAGUCGUGGUGUAGGCGGGAAAUGCA